GAGAACACAAGGUCUUGCCGUUGCGAGUGCCCUGCACUGAUAAGGUUGUUGAGAUCAAAGGACAAUGGCUGGUACAUAGCAGAGCACCAUGAGCAGCACACUCAUUUGUUGUCCCCGACGUAUGGGCAAACGAUACACUGGUCAUCACACAAGCAUAUAGAUGUCUACAACCGGGAUUUGGUGAAGAAGCUUCGGCAGAAUGUCAGCCUUGCAAAGGUGUACAACAUUAUUGGCAGCUUCUUUGGAUCCAUGGAAAAGGUCCCUUUCACAAAGAGGGUGUUGAAGAAUCUGUGUGGUAAGAUAAGCCAUGAGCAGGCAGAGGAUGAUGUAAGGAAAACAAUGGAAGUUUUUGCCGAGCUUUUUGCGAGAGAUCCAACUUGCACCCUUCACCAUGUGCAAGCUGAGAAGGACGGUAGGGUCACAUCGUUGAUGUGGGAAAAUGGAAGUAGUAGAUAGCAGUACACCUUCUUCGACAAUGUUGUUAUGUUUGACAUGACUUACAAGACAAACCUCUAUAAUACGCCCUUUGGGCUUUUCGUCAGAGUUAACAACCAUUUUCAAAGCAUAAUACUCGCGGGAGUGCUAGUCCGUGACAAGAUGGUGGAGACAUUUGAGUGGGCUAUCUCUGAGAUCAUUAGGAUGAUGGGAGGCAAUGCGCCAAAACAAUUUUGA
rnacentral:rRNA from 1 species